rnacentral:rRNA from 1 species
UACGUAGGGGGCAAGCGUUAUCCGGAUUUACUGGGUGUAAAGGGAGCGUAGACGGUUAUGUAAGUCUGGAGUGAAAGCCCGGGGCCCAACCCCGGGACUGCUUUGGAAACUGUGUAACUGGAGUACAGGAGGGGCAGGCGGAAUUCCUGGUGUAGCGGUGAAAUGCGUAGAUAUCACGAAGAACUCCGAUUGCGAAGGCAGCUCACUGGACUGCAACUGACACUGAGGCUCGAAAGUGUGGGUAUCAAACAGG